AGGACGAACGCUUGCGGCGUGCCUAAGAAAUGCAAGUCGAGCGGGGGAGCAAUCCCUAGCGGCGAACGGUCGCGUAACACGUAGGCAACCUGCCCGAGAGACCGGGACAACACCCCGAAAGGGGUGCUAAUACCGGAUGUGGCCGCCCUGUUGAUUUCGGGGCGAUUAAAUCCCUUCGGGGGCUCUUGGAGGGGCCUGCGGCCUAUCAGCUAGAUGGCGGGGUAACGGCUCACCAUGGCGACGACGGUUAGCUGGUCUGAGAGGAUGGUCAGCCGGACUGGGACUGAGAUACGGCCCAGACUCCUACGGGGGGCAGCAAUUAGGAAUCUUGCGCAAUGGGGGGAACCCUGACGCAGCGACGCCGCGUGGAGGAGGAAGGCCUUCGGGUUGUAAACUCCUUUUGGGUGGGAAGAACAAUGACGGUACCACCGAAUAACGCCCCGGCUAACCUCCGCGCCAGCACGCCGC
rnacentral:rRNA from 1 species